UACAGAGGGUGCAAGCGUUAAUCGGAAUUACUGGGCGUAAAGCGUGCGUAGACGGUUAUGUAAGUCAGAUGUGAAAGCCCCGGGCUUAACCUGGGAAUGGCAUUUGAGACUGCAUAGCUAGGGUGCGGAAGAGGGAAGCGGAAGUUUCCGGUGUAGCGGUGAAAGUGCGUAGAUAUACGGAAGGAACACCAGUGGCGAAAGCGGCUUCCCUGGU
rnacentral:rRNA from 1 species